CCUUCUUUUUUCCCUUUUACAGGUGAAGAAUCUGUGUUUUGCUCAUCUGGCUUUCUACAGGAAAAGCAACGUGAAUUAUAUCAUGCCUCUUUAAGAAAACAAAGGUUACCUGCACAAGGCAGUAUUGAAAUACAUGAGGACAAUGAGACCACAUCACUUCACCUUCCAUGGUAGAUUGUUGUCUGUGUAUGCAUGCAUUCACGUGCUCAUAAAUUUAUUUAUGAGAUUUAUGGCUGUCAGCUCCAGUACAAUUUUUACUCUUUCAGUAAAUGUCUGGGAAGUUCAACACCAGAAAUGCAAAACUCGUGUGCUAAUUCUGAUUCUACAUGGAGGAAAUAUCUUAGACACUGGGGGAGAGGAUCAAAGCAGCAAGCUGGCAGACAUCAACACCUUCAGUUCUGUCUUUGAGAAGGUGACCCAAGCCCAUUUCCCUGCUGCUUUGGGCCACAUCUUAAUCAGACUUGUUCCCUGCCCAGCAAUCUGUUCAGCAGCCUUCUCUCUUGUUUCCAAGUAAGCUGAUUUUACUUUAUAUUAUUUGGCUUUGCAGUGUGGUUUUGAAAGGCUUUUGACAUGUUCAUUCCCAAUAGGAGCUACCACUCUUUGAAGUCCUGUAGUUUUGUGGUAUUCAUUUGUUGCCGCUAAGAAUGCAGUAUGUGAAUGUAGUAUACUCUUGAAUGAGUUACAGAGGAUGCAUCUGUAAGAAACAAUGCCUUUGGCUAUUAAAGUCUUCAGUUUGCAGUACAUCUAGGAUUUGGCUAUAUCUGAGAGCAGUAUCCACAUGUUCCUAAAGUUCUGGCAGCUUGGGGCCAUGCCCACUGGCCUGGGGAGCCUGUUCCAUACCCAACACCCUCUAAUGCAGAACCCUUUUCCCAACCCCUGCCUGACAGUACUCCAUUCUAUUCCCUUGGGCCCUGUUGCUGUCCUCAGAGGGCAAUGCCUGCCUCUUUGCUCUCCUGUGAGAAGCUGCAGGCUGCUGUGAGGACCCCACUCAGCCUCCUCUUCUCUGGGCUGAGCAAACCAAAGAGGUUAUUCAUCAGAUCACAUUUCUUGUAGCAAGUCAGCUAUGUAGUUGAUAAUUAUUGUUGUGUAGUAUGCUGUGACAAUAUUUCAAUAGAGAAACAAGUCAGUAUGAAAUUCUGAAUGUACUUUUAGAGAAAGGUUAGCAGCUUAGAGACCUGCUUAGUUUGGUAUAUAUUGUACCCAGAGCAAGAACAUAACUCUUAACUGUGCAUCAGUAGUAUGUUUUGAAGUUCCUCUGCAUGCUUGCAUAAAAGGUACUCUCACAGUGAAAAACUAUUAUUACUAUUAAUUUUAACAAUCGUUAUAUAUACAACAGUAAAACUUUCAGGUUGUUAACACCAUGGGACAGCAGCUGAUCUUAGCCUGUAUGUUCAGAGGAUGUUACAUUUAUAAGAUUCAUGUAGAAGGAGAGCUGUAGCAGCAGUAGAGUAACCGGCUUAAUUUUACAUUUUUUCCCCAUAGUAAAAAAUUUUCCACACAGCAUUACUUGCACACUAAACACUUGAAAGCCAUAGUUCCUGAGCAGGUUUUUCUCUGAGUGCCGUUAUAACUGGCUUCUACAUCCUCAUAAUGGUAAUCAAUAAUAUUUUAUCAACUUGGGUAGCAGUAGUUCUGAUUGUUCUGUGGUUUUGGUACUAGUCCAACCAGUAUUUUAACUGAGAUAAGGCAGAAUAGUCUGUAACGUGACGAUAAAAUAUUAAAAAUCUCUUCACUGUUUUUAUUUAUUUCUGUGGUAUUAGUGAGCUGAAUUUAAAAUACCAAAUGGAAUUUUCUAGUGGGCUGUUUGUCUGUGCCCACUUCUCCUUUUCUUCUUUUCAGUCCUGAAAUUCACCCCUUAAAUGAGAGAACUUUUUCAGGUAACGUUUAUUUCCUUAGAGACAUUUUCCUUGACAUAAAUAUUUUAAAGAGAUGUGUACUCAUCUUUUAUGCAUGAUAGAGAAAGGAAAAAGAAAUGUGUUUUUGGGCCUGAUUCAACUCUUGUGUGAGUGUAAACCAAGAACAACUCUGUGGAGAUGGGGAGGAAAGAUUCAGACUUGCUUG